GCGCCGCCGCAGCCAGCAUGGUCGAGGGGUCAAGAAGCCGAGGACGGAUACCGAGCGGGUGGAGGGCCGAGCCGGCCCGGCUUCUGCCAGGUCUGGCCUCUGGGUGCACGCCAGCGACGGUCAUUGGAACUUUGUCCAUUGACCCUUCUUGGACUCCAAUGACGGACUUUCAUAGAGGAAGCGGCAAUUAUCUAGACUUGCUGGAGGAAAUUGCUCCUCUACACUGGCAGGAUUUAACCCUUAGCUUAAGUCAGCUCCCUGUUGGCUCUGGUGGCACCUCAAGUUCAGUCAUGGGAGACUCCUCGCCUUGGAGUAAGAUGAGGGGAUUGUCUUGAGGAGGCUCCGUUUUAUCCAGAAUUAAUCCAGGACAUCGCUUUUAUGGGAAACAGAGGGCUUGCCAAAGACAAAGGUUCCUUUUCCACUUAGCGAUAGGGACUUCUGUAAAUUUCACAUCCUUAAAUAUGGAAGCAGUAAUCAUAGACUCAAGGAGCCCUGUAGACAGCGUUUGGACCACACCCGAGGUGGUCGGCAAGCCUUAAGAUCCCAGCCAGCAGUCUGACUGCUGGGCACUCAUCUUUAGCUACCACACUGCAAGCCUCAGGUGAUGGUGGGGGUAGCUCAAUGGACUGACUUCUCUUAAAUAGUUAAACUUGUGCUUGGCACAUAGUAGGUGCUCAAUAAAUAUUCAUUACUGUAA